GAUCCUGGCUCAGGACGAACGCUGGCGGCGUGCCUAAUACAUGCAAGUAGAACGCUGAAGAGAGGAGCUUGCUCUUCUUGGAUGAGUUGCGAACGGGUGAGUAACGCGUAUGCAACUUGCCUAUCAGAGGGGGAUAACCCGGCGAAAGUCGGACUAAUACCGCAUGAAGCAGGGAUCCCGCAUGGGAAUAUUUGCUAAAGAUUCAUCGCUGAUAGAUAGGC
rnacentral:rRNA from 1 species